UCACAAUUUAAAAGUCCAGAAUCUCCAGCAGUUCUCUUGUUCAUUGUUCCCUGUGGACCCAUGAUUCACCCUCUUGGACUUACUUCAAAAUUACAUGCUGAAAUAGAAAUCUGAAAAGGAAACACACAGGAAGAACAAGUAAAUGACCCUGAAGAGCCUCUCAAAAGAGCUCUGUGUAACAUCCUUUUAUUUGGUUUCUGCAAAUGCUAUUACAAAACCUCCUGAUAAGUAAUUGUACCCUAAGCUAUUACAAAACCUCCUGAUAAGUAAUUGUACCCUAUCUUUAUCUGUCAUCAAUGAAGAUUUUUGAAUAAAUAAAAUUUUAUAAUUUAUGUUAUUGAGUGAUGGUUAGGUCCUUUUGCUGAAGGAAGUGUGUGUCACAAGUAAGUUUUUGUAAGAGAACUCCUAAAUUAAAUGUAUUUAUUAUGUUUAUGAUCAUAAAUACCAAGGGCUUAUGCAAUGUGUUAUUUUUUCUACUUUUAUGUAAUGUGUUUAUUAUAAGUUUAAAACAUAAUAAAUGAUAAUGUUUCAAAUAUAUUCUUCAACUGAUAUAUCCAUAUUAAACAAAAGGUUUUCAAAUUUGUGCAUAUUUCAUUCUGUAAUCGAAUGUUCUUCCAGAAUUAUAAAAUUAAUAUGCAAUCACUGCAAGCAAUGGAAUGGAAUAAUAUAAUGAUCUUUUUUUAAAAAGAAAUAAAAUUUCACAUACACAUAAACCUUGUCCUUCCUCAGCUCCAAACUCCAGAUAACCUACUGUGUAUUAUUGUACACUUUUCUCAAUAUAUUGUGUGUACAUUUCACUUACCAAUACAUCAUGAAUAUCCUUCUAGUAAUUAAUAUAGCUAUAACUCAUUCUUUCUUUAAUUGCUGAAGAAAAUAGUCUAU
rnacentral:lncRNA from 10 species